rnacentral:rRNA from 1 species
AUUGAACGCUGGCGGCAUGCUUUACACAUGCCAGUCGAACGGUAACAGGCCUUCGGGUGCUGACGAGUGGCGAACGGGUGAGUAGUGCAUCGGAACGUGCCCAGAGGUGGGGGAUAACGCAGCGUAAGCUGUGCUAAUACCGCAUGUGAUCUGAGGAUGAAAGCGGGGGACCAGGCAGCAAUGUUUGGCCUCGCGCCUUUGGAGCGGCCGAUGUCAGAUUAGGUAGUUGGUGGGGUAAAGGCCUACCAAGCCGACGAUCUGUAGCUGGUCUGAGAGGACGACCAGCCACACUGGGACUGAGACACGACCCAGACUCCUACGGGAGGCAGCAGUGGGGAAUUUUGGACAAUGGGCGCAAGCCUGAUCCAGCAAUGCCGCGUGCGGGAAGAAGGCCUUCGGGUUGUAAACCGCUUUUGUACGGAACGAAAAGGCUCUGGCUAAUACCUGGGGCUGAUGACGGUACCGUAAGAAUAAGCACCGGCUAACUACGUG